rnacentral:rRNA from 1 species
CACUUACCCAUGAAGCACGCACCCCCAGGGCAGCACCCACGUGCCCAACCCCUGCCACACGUCUCUCUUUCUCUCCCUUAUCCUUAUCCCCACCGCAUGUCUCUCUUUCUCUCGUUUCUGUCCUCCUCGAUCCAAAAGCACAUCGGCCGGCGCCCGCCACCACCUCCACCCCGAACCCGGCCAACACCACGCCCUCCAGUCCUGGCCUCGCCGGCCACCACUGUGUCGAGCGGCCGCGGCCACUUCCCCAUUCGUCCCCAGCGCCGUCGGCCCCGGCUACUUUCCCCUUCACCCCCAGCCCCGUCGGCCCCAGCCACUCCCCCUGUCGCCACGGUAGGCCCACCGGCGCCCGCGCACCACCUCGCUGGCCGCCAUCUCGUCGGCCGGCCCCGGCCUUGGUGGCCGUCAUCUUGCCCGCAGGCCUCGACCUCAUUGCCUGCCGGCCCCGGCCUCGUCGCUCCCGGCGGCCUCCGCGUCCCGUCGCUCCUCGCCCCCAGCAGCCUCUGCGCCCCGUGGCCCUCGCCGGCCUCGAGCGACCCCGACCACCUCAUCCCCGUAGGCCUCUGCCAGCCUCGACCCCGGGCAUCCAUGGUGGCGUAAGUGUGCUUUGUUUUUGGAGAAAGAAAGAAGAAGGGAGAGGUGCAUGGUUGCUGGUUUCUGCUGCUCCGGCGACCACGGGCAUAGGGGAUGCUCGCAGGGGAGGAGCUGGCGUCGAUUGAACUCAAAAUGGCUGUGUGCUGGAUCUUGGGCGGCUAUUGUGAAAUAUUCGAUGUAUUCUGUUUUGCCCUAUAUCAGCAAGUGAUGAUGUAUUCUGUGUAAAUAUAGUAACUUUGUAUUUUGAAACUUGUUCAUUCAUCAUUGACUCUUAGAACAAAGUGUCGAUCAAUACUGCGGUGUUCAUCGUUGUCCGUUAGUUCCUUGUAGGCUUUGCAUAUGGACUGUUGGUUUAGAUUAUUUUAAUAGGAACAAUUAUUUGC